CUCACGGCUUCGUUAGGAAAAACCAUAAUGCCGCCUGAAUUCCGUCCACCUCCCGCCGUUCGCAGGUGCGAGGGUUUCUGCAUUGGUUGACCCGGUCCUUUCGGUACCGGAUUCCUCAGCCCCCAGCCCCCCGGGGUCGUCAGGAUCGGGUCUAUUCUUCCUGGUGUUUCUUCCUCUCCGGCUGUCUCCAAACCGGAACCCGACUUAAGGGCCGUUCACACGGCCCUUUU
rnacentral:sRNA from 1 species